GGGCGGGUAGCUCAGUUGGUAGAGCGGGGGAUUGAAAAUCCCUGUGUCGCUGGUUCAAGUCCAGUUCUGCCCA
rnacentral:tRNA from 1 species